UUAUUUUCUAUGUUAUGUGUUAUUUCCUAAUCUCUUUUGCGUUUUUUUCAUCGAAUUCUGGAGUAUGGUUGUUGAUGGGUUCCUCUUCAAUGGAAUCAAAUCAAGAUGACCGGUUACUUUGUAAAAGGGUUUUUUUUGAUUGAUUUUGCUUCAAAUUCCCUAAUUUUUACUAAUUGAGGUGUGAUUGGUUGAUGGGUUCUUUACUGUGGAAGCAUUACAUGGCCAAAACACUAUAAUCAGGUUACGAUUGAUUCUAUUUUCUUUUUUUUAUUGCGGUGUGAUUUGUUGAUUGAUUCCUUUCAGCGAAUCAGUUCAAGGAAAGCUUUUCAAAGCCCUAAUGGUUAAGCUAUUAAACAGUAUCAAUAUAAGUCGUUUUUGGAUUUUAUGAUUUUGGGGGUUUCAAUGAUUUUGUUGUUUCUUCAAUGGGUUCUAGUUCUAACUGAUUUGGGUUUCAUUUUAGAGGUGGUAUAGCUUAUUUAAAACACAUUGAAGAAGACUAAUGGGAACUGAAUCGGUUAAGGCAGUUUACAAGACAGAAGAAUUGAAAGAAAAUGUGCAAAAUGGUUAGCAAUACCAUAACAGGGUUCUUGUUUCUUUCGCUGCUGCUGCUUGUAGCUUCCAGAUAUGACUGUUGGUGCACAAGCGACCAAAUCAUUGCUUGGGUUGGGUCCUCAGCCUCUGUGGCUUUCACAUCUUUCAUGCUCAUGAUCAGAUCAAAUCUUCAAAGUUUAAACUAAAUUGGAGUUUUAUGUUACUGGCAGUUAGUAAUUAAACCUCUGCAGAUGAAGCUAGUGGUGGUAAAACUCUAUACGGUGAAAAUCUAUUUUGUGCUGUGUUGGUGACUUGGUAUGAUGUUGAUAAGGAUUAAGUAGUUUCAGAGAGAGUAAAGUAAUUCAGUCGUUUCAUCAUGCUUUUUGCAAACCAUGUUCCGGAAACAGGGAAUGCAAGAGGACUUUGAUACAUUUGAAGGAGGCCAUAAAGAUCCUGUUGGUCUUGCUUGCUUUUGGAGGUGGAUGCAUCUUACAUAAGUGAAUAAGGUCUUUAUGGGUUGGGCUAUUGGCAUCCUCUUCUCGAGGUUUGUCUUUAACUGAUGAUGUUAAGAUGGGUGCUGGUUUUACCACAGGUCUAAACCCAGCAGAAGCUGUAGGCUUCCAAUAUGGAUUUAAAGAAAUUCAGAAAAUUGGUGAUUGCAAUAUAGUAGUUCCACAGGUUAAAGGGCAGGUCUUUAGCUGUUCCUGGAGGGAGAGCCGAAGUGAUAAUGCAAGAUGCUAAGAUUUCACCCUCUGGGUUCACACUUGUCAAUAUCUCACACUUGCCAUUUUGUCUAGACAGUAUAUUUAUGAAGAAAUGUUUUAAGAUCUCUAUUACUGCUAAUAGUUUAGCACAUUCUUUGUUGCUACUAUGUGGUCCUGAAGCACAAGGGGAUUUUAAAUUUAACAGGAAUUACAAUCAACAACAGAUAUUGAGAUCUAAUUAACUGUUUGUUUGAUUUCAUAGUUAGAUUGUGAAAUUUGUUAAAACAGCGGAGAUAGUAAAUAGAUAGAUC